CCGCAGGUUCGGGACUCACGCAGUGAGACAACGGAGCCGCUUGCGGCGACGGCCCGAAGGGCGAGCGAAGCGAGUCAUCCUGCACGACCCACCA
rnacentral:sRNA from 3 species